UCUAUUUCCGCCAUUUUCAAAAUAAAUAUCUUUUUUUUUAAUUUUUAAUGGCAUGGCCUUCUAGCCUUUGUGCCAAAUCUUCAUUUUAAUUAUUUUUUUAUUUGUUAUCAUAUCUUCUGUUUUUCUCAUAUUUUUCCAAUAGUAUUUUUAAUAUAUUUAUAUAGCGGCAUAAAACGGUCUUUUCUUUGCAGCAAUUACGUUGAGGCGGCGCGGGAUUCAAUAUUUGUUGACAUUUCAUCAUUUAUGUCACACCACACAUAAAGCUUAUAGCUAUUAGUCUUUGGAGGUUAUAUUCUUCACAAGUAAAUAAUAUUCUGGUAUUCCUGGAAACUUUCGACAAGCAGUGCAUGUCGCAUCUUCAAUUAUGUUGAAUCUACUCAAAUGAGCGGGUGCGGUGUUAUGCCCAAACCGAAGUCUGUUCAGUGUUGUAAUGAAGUCUCUACUCGCAAUCUUUAGCUCAGGGUUUUCUAGAUCGGAGACAAGUGAAACAAAGCUGUCUGCACAACUUCGCCCUCAUCUGAAGCCAUAUUGAACAUUUGGUAGUAUGUCAUUGUGUUCAACAAACCAGUCAAGCCGAGUUUUUAUCAUGUUCUCAAAUAUUUUACCUAGACAAGAUGAGAAAUAGGUCGGCAGGAAUUAGAACUAUCGGGAGGCUUAUCUGUCUUUGAAAUAGGUAUUACACAUUGAGUUUUCCAUGCUCUGGAAUAAUCUGUUUAAUCCAUAAGUUAUUAAGAAUGUCUAAGAAAAGUUUUUGAACUGACUGAUGAAAUUUCCUAAUUAAAAUAUAAGGAAAACCAUGUAAUCCAGGUGUUGUAUCUUCACGUGAAUUUAAAGAUGCAGAAAAUUCCUGAAAUAAAAACUUUUCUAAGAGAAAUUUCGUAUUUUCAGUAUCAUUAUGAAUAUUAAAAUAUUUUUCAAAUCUUGUAAAUUGUAUCCAGGAAUAUUAAAUAAAUUAUUUUUAAACCAUGUUUCAUUUAAAAGACAAAUAUCAAUAUUUUCAUGUGCUGUCAAUGGUUUUGUAUUAUAUGCGCUUUGUAUAUUGAACUGUGCUAUUCGUAACUGUGACUGUGAUAAGGUGCUAUUUAUAUCCAUAAGCUUAGGAAAGGUAUUUAUGUAACAUAUCGUUAACUGUUUUACUAUUAAUUGGAGUCCCAUCACCCUUAUUGCUAAUUUCAAGUACAGUGCGAAUAAUUGCCGAGUUUAAAUAUGUGUUAAUUGUGUUAUUGAUUAAUUGCUCUUUUAAAUUAAUUUGAGGAGCUUGUGUAGUGGGAACUACAGGUAAUUUAUUAAUCUUAGAAGUAGAGCAGAUGAGGCUGCAGAUUUAUUUACAUUUUGUACAAUUUUAUUUUCAGGUAUGGUUUUAAUUAUAUUAUUAUUUACAACA
rnacentral:lncRNA from 1 species